CUUCAUGAAAAACGUGUCUGUUUCUGGUCUGUUUGUGUUGAUGUCCUGCAGUAGCUACCUUGUGUUGAUGUCCUGCAGUAGCUAGCUUGUGUUGAUGUCCUGCAGUAGCAGGAGCAGGACCUGUAACACCACCCGAUGCUACAGGAAGGCCAUAAAGAUCAUCAAGGACAUCAACCACCCGAGCCACUGCCUGUUCACCCCGCUGUCAUCCAGAAGGCGAGAUAACAGGAGCCAGGUGCCUGAUAACUGCAUAUUCUACACAGCUACAGCGACUGACCGCUGAAGCGCUUAGGGGGCUGGGACCAGCCUCUGCGACAACAAUCAACGAUGGGCUGGGUGAGUCUAAACCACGCCCAGUCUCUACUCUGACAGGCCGGCUCGGAAGCAGGAACUUUUUCUGUCAGAGUAUAUUUAUAAUAUAUUUGUCAAGAACAAGUUAGUUCUCUGUUUGCCCUGCGAGGUGGGACAGAGAGCCCGUAUAUACGAAAAUUGCAUUUACCAAUUAUUGCUUAACUAAUAAAAAAUAGCAUAGCAUACAAUCGGUGACUCAUUGUCAUAUUUAUCCUGAUACCAGAUUCGAAUUGACGCAACUCUAACACAGGUCAAUGAUUAUGACAGCAUUCUGAUCUAACCAUAAAUUAAUAUGUUGUGCCACUUGGCCUGAGAAUAUUGAAGUUCUAUCUUAGCCUAGAUGUAGCCUAGUAGACUCACUUUAACUAGCUAGCUAACUUAGCUGGUUCAUUGUCGCCAACGUGAGGAAUUUAAGCUAGCAAGCAUUUUAGCUAGGUAGCCUAUGACAACAAAAAAUGAAAGGUGUACUGUAUGACAGAGUCAUAGACCGUUUAGCCAACAUGAAAGAGAGGAGGAUGGCGUUGGCCUUCAACUAGUCUACAAGUAGGGCGAGUCAACAUGUUUGUUUUACUUGUGCACACAGACAGAAAUCAGUACCAAGGGGAGCCACGUGAUAUUUAGCAACAGUGAUUGGACUAGAUUGUUUUUGGUAUCUUUAAGUGUGUUUUCUGUGUAUUAUACUAUGCAGAUGUAGUUUUCUUGAUUUGAUGAUAUUUAAAUGUUUAAGUUAAAAUGGUGCUGGAAUUAGCGGAGGCGGUGUUCCUGUUGUCUUUGUGUUGACUUGAGGUAACUUCAUGGUUCUAAAUCAGUAGUAAACUGUAGAAAACAUGAACUUGCAGUACACUGUAAGACUGUUCUGUCAUUUCAACAGUAAAACACUGUAGAAUGCACAGUAAAAUACCUGAAAUGUGUUUUACAGCAGUAAUGCUGUAGAUUGCACUGCAUUUAUUUCAUUUAAAAAAAAAAACUUUAUCUAACUAGGCAAGUGAGUUAAGAACAAAUUAUUAUUUUCAAUGACAGCCUA
ensembl:lncRNA